GAGCCGUUAUGCGACCGGUUCCGUACAACCCCAGCUACCCCUAUCCGGCAUCUCCAUUUGUCGUGAAGGUUCUAGAUAGUCCACUCCCCGCCCUCAAACGCCGUUACCUAGGUGCUUCGUCCUCCCCUCCACCCCGUCAAGAGCUCUCCCAAGUCCCAAGCGCCGGCACACACCGCCACCUCGCCGCGCUCUACAGGGUUGCCGUGCCUCCGCCCCGGUAUGGUCGACCGCGCCGCGGCGAGCAACUCAACUAGAAAAUACUUUGCCACAGCGGUGAUGAAUUUCCACCCAGUGGUUUCUGGCUGUCAAUAUGCACGACCUCCUUGCGCACAUCGCCAGCUUUGAUUACCGGCCCGGGAUGAUAGAUGAGCUCGACGCGCAGAUGGGGUUCGUCGUGGGCGGAACCAUUCUCAUGCUACUCACUGUCGUCUUCUAUGAAAUUCAGGUCAGUCUCUUCUCCUUCCCUGAAUCGGGAGUGUUAAGCGCAGCCUGUACAAAUCCAUUCAAAUUGCGUGAAACUAUGUUGUUAGCUGAUUAUGGUGUUUACCUUUUCUCCACAUACAGUUUGGAUUUAGUUACCAACAUGAGAUAUCUUGGAAAUUGAGCUUUUAUUUGUGCCA